AAUCAACGCUGGCGGCGUGCCUAACACAUGCAAGUCGAACGCGAAAGCCCCUUCGGGGUAAGGUAGAGUGGCGUCCGGGUGAGUAACACGUGGGUAAUCUACCUUCGGGUGGGGGAAGUAACUCAGGGAAACGUUGAGCUAAUACCGCAUAAUGCAGCGGCACCUAAUGGUGAUUAGUUGUUAAAGCGGGGGAGUCGCAAGACCUCGCGCCUGAAGAGGAGCCUGCGGCAGAUUAGCUAGNGGUGAGGUAAUGGCUCACCAAGGCUUCGAUCUGUAGCUGGUCUGAGGAGGACGGCCAGCCACACUGGCACUGACACACGGGCCAGACUCCUACGGGAGGCAGCAGUGGGGAAUUUUGGGCAAUGGGCGAAAAGCCUGACCCAGCAACGCCGCGUGAGGGAGGAAAUCCUUCGGGAUGUAAACCUCACAAGC
rnacentral:rRNA from 1 species